rnacentral:lncRNA from 1 species
GGGGCUGUAGUCAGGGCUUUUUGGGGCCUGGCCCAUUGGGUACAGACAUUCCCAUCAUCUUUGAAUCCUUUAAAACUUACCAGGCACUCUCUAUGUGGGAAGAUGGUGCCCAAACACAUCUGCAUGUCAUAUUGCCUGGUUGGCUGUAGCAGGACUGGGAUGAGGUAGGCUGGGGCCAGUGAGAUUGGGCCCAGAUAACAGGCCAGCAAAUGGACUUUCUCCUUUAAGAGGAAUGAUUAGAGUCUGGCCUGGCUUCACUGCUCCACAUCCUCCUCACAGCUUUCACUGAGGUUUUGCUGAGUCAUUGGGUGAGAUGUGGCCUCUUCUAAGCUGCACAGGCACAUUCUGAGCCCCUUUGUUCUGCUAGGGGUCCCUCUGUGAGCAAAGCCUAGGAAGCCAGGUGCCUCCCUCUGCAAAAGGGGAAAGUUUGUGCAGACAGGGAGGGCAGGGCCUCCUGUGGGGAGGAGAGGAGGGGAGCAUGGCAGAAAGAGCACAGGACUGGAGGGAGAGGCAGGCUGCCUUCCAGCCCUCCCACUUACUGGCUGUGUGAGCAUGAGGAAGGUGCUUCCCCUGUGUGUGCCUCAGUUUCCCUUGUGAUACUCUGUGGCCUGAAGAAGAUCUCUGCCUAGAUGAAGUCCAGCUGUUUCCUCCGAAGACCCGUGUUUCUAUAUGUGGCCUUGUGGGGCAACAAGUAGGGAUUUUAAGGCCAGAAAAUCAGAGCAAAGGGUCAGAGGGGCAACCGAUGUCCGUGGCCCUGGAGAACAGCUGCACCUCCGUGCACCCAGAACCAGCUGUCUUGCUUCUUUCUCCUUUUUUUCACUUUCUUCUCCUGCCUCAGAUGCCUUAUUGGCCCCCUUUUCUCACUCCCUACCCGCUUUUCACUAGGAUGUUUAAAUCUUCAGCUCCCUACUUCUCUUCACUGAAGUCUGUCCCCGCUCCCACCCAUCCCCAUUAUUCUCCCUGCACUGAAGCCACCCAGUCCAUCCUUCCCUUCAGUGGUUGCUCUGUUGAGGAGCCCGACCAGACGCCUGGCCUGGAGAGCUGAGCCCUGAGCCCCCAGCACUGCCCUGAAGAGCCGUAUUGGCCUUGUGUGCAGUGCCUGCUCCCCCACUGUGGCCCUGCCCUGCCUGAUCCUCAGUAAAGCCUUAAUGACACCUGCUGUGUCUUGUCUUCUUCCUUCUGGCCACGUGGGCUCACGAUUGACCGUGUUGGGGGCGUGGGUGUGUCCAUUUUUCCUUCUGUUGUCCAUUGCAGGGGCUGGGUGGAUGGGGAUGAGUGUGUAUGUGUGUGGUGGGGGGAACAGAUGGGAUUAUAGGAAUUCCU